AUUGAACGCUGGCGACAUGCUUUACACAUGCAAGUCGAACGGUAGAGGGGCAACCCUUGAGAGUGGCGAACGGGUGAGUAAUGCAUCGGAACGUGCCCAGUAGUGGGGGAUAGCCCGGCGAAAGCCGGAUUAAUACCGCAUGAGACCUGAGGGGGAAAGCGGGGGAUCGCAAGAACUCGCGCUAUUGGAGCGGCCGAUGUCAGAUUAGCUAGUUGGUGGGGUAAAGGCCUACCAAGGCGACGAUCUGUAGCUGGUCUGAGAUGACGACCAGCCACACUGGGACUGUGACACGGCCCAGACUCCUACGGGAGGCAGCAGUGGGGAAUUUUGGACAAUGGGCGCAAGCCUGAUCCAGCCAUGCCGCGUGCUGGAAGAAGGCCUUCGGGUUGUAAACCGCUUUUGUCAGGGAAGAAAUCUUCUGGGCUAAUACCCUGGGAGGAUGACGGUACCUGAAGAAUAAGCACCCGCUAACUACGUGCCAGCCGCCACGGUAA
rnacentral:rRNA from 1 species